rnacentral:rRNA from 1 species
UACGGAGGGUGCAAGCGUUGUCCGGAAUUAUUGGGCGUAAAGAGCUCGUAGGCGGUGUGUCGCGUCGGCCGUGAAAACCUGCAGCUUAACUGUGGGCUUGCGGUCGAUACGGGCAUCACUGGAGUUCGGCAGGGGAGACUGGAAUCCUGGUGUAGCGGUGAAAUGCGCAGAUAUCAGGAGGAACACCGGUGGCGAAGGCGGGUCUCUGGGCCGAUGACUGACGCUGAGGAGCGAAAGCGUGGGGAGCGAACAGG